GCCCGGCAGACACAAGACUGGGCCCUCAUAAACUCAGACAGCCCGGCAUGUCACCUGUUGUACCUGCCCUUUCAGCUCUGUGACCCGGGACAAGUCACCCUCUCCCUUUGAGUUGCCGCAAGAGGCUCAUAGGUGGAAGGGACUUGCCUUGUCUCAGAUGAAACAUUGGACUUGGACUUUUGGAUUAAUGCUGGAAUGAGUUAAGACUUUGGGGGACUGUUGGAAGAGCAUGAUCGUGUUUUGAAAUGUGACGACGUGAAAUUUGGAAGGGGCCAGGGGCAGAAAUAUAUGGUUUGGCCCUGUGUCUCCACCCAAAUCUCACUUUGAAUUGUAAUAAUCCCCACAUGUCCAGGGCAGGGUCAGGCAGAGUUAAUGGAAUCAUGAGGGUGGUUUCCCCCAUGCUGUUCUUGUGGUAGUGAAUAAGUCUCAUGAGAGCUGAUGGUUUUAUAAAUUGGAGUCCCCUUGCACAAGCUCUCUUGCUUGCCACCAUGUAAGAUGUGACUUUGCUCCUCAUUCUCCAUCCACCAUGAUUGGGAGGCCUCCCCAGCCUUGUGGAACUGUGAGUCCAUUAAACCUCUUUCCUGUAUAAAUUA
rnacentral:lncRNA from 1 species